rnacentral:lncRNA from 1 species
CGGGGCGGCAAAACGUCCGCCCGGGCCCGAGGCGGGCGGAGGCAGCUGUGGUUACGUGCGGGGGGCCGGUGACGCAGUCGCGGGGCGCUGGGACGCGGCUUGCGGAGCCGGCCGGCGAGCGCAGGCCCCAGGCUCGGGCGCGGCGGCGGGACAGCACCUACCUUCCCGGCUUCGGGUCCGGGAGUGCGGGGCGCGGAGCCGCCGGAGCGCUGCCUCCCUCCUUCCUCCUCCCCUCGCCCCCGCCCCGCGGCGCGACACACAAUACUCGCCGGAAGCGGAAGCCGCGCCGAGGCUCGUGUCAGUGGAAGCUGGGGUGUCGGCGGGCGGCCGCGGCCGGGUCUAGCGGUGCCUGCGGAAGAAGGAGGAGGAGGGCUGGCGAUGAGAAGCAGCAGGGGGAAUCAAGGGCAAGAAGGGACCCAGAGGGGCAGGUGGCUGAGAUGCUGGCGUCCAGGUGACCCGAGGAAUCCUCUGGAGAUACAGGCCCGCGCAUGCGCGUGCUCGAGCGCUGAAGCCCAUUGCCCGCAGGGCGCUGGACUGGCGCCCCGGCCGGCGAGGCUGUCUAGUCCAGGCUCCAGGCCCCGGCUCUGGCCAGGCGCCGCCGCCUCCCGGUGCAGCUGAAAGUCGACGAAGAGGGCGGGGCGGGGGCGGCUUGUGGACUUCCACACUUUUCCUCUCUUCGGGCCAGUCUGGGGAGAGGGUGGCUAGCUGUGGCGGCGGCCAAUUACGUGGCGGACCUGCGGGGCUAAGCUGGCACGUCACUUCCGACUAGUGGAGUUUUUAGCCUUUUAACAUUCAAGGAUUAGAGCUCCCUCUUUGCCCACUAGCAGGGCAUUAGCUGGUGCUGAAGACAGUGGCUGCUUGGCGAGCCUGGAUCUCCAAGUGACCCCCUCAGCAACUCCUGAUGAACAGGACUGAAGCCAAUAUUAAAGCAAGUCAACCAAAGGUUCUCUGGUGUAGACAAGACAGCAAAAGGACAGACUACCUUGUGGAACCUAGCAUUGUUCUCCUUCUGCAGCACUAAGUAACAUUUGUUCUCCGUUAAGAUCUUUGCAAACCACACACAAGAAUUGCUGGUCAUCCUGCCAAUAGAUGCUGCUCACAGAACCAAAUUUCCUGUGCUGAAUUGUCACUCAUGGGCUUGAGAGUAGGAGACUGGAGACCAAGGUGGCUAGAAUCCAGUUGGGCCUGAUGUCUCCCUGUUGAAAGGGCUCCUUGUGGAAUGAAUAGCACAUGGCUCCUGUGGUGGAUCUGAUAGUGGCAUAGCACCAAGUGAUGCAGGCCUGCCAGGGGCCACAGACACAGAAGAUGCUCCCGGGGUCCCCCAUGUACUCCAGACACACUGCAGGCCACCUCUCCCAGCAGGUUGCCAGUCAUGGGCCCCAUCAUCAUGACUUCUGUCCAAGGUACUGUGUGCAGAAAUGUGAUUGAGAUUCAAGUCAGGGCCUCUCUGCCCUUUUCCCUCCAGAAACAAAACCAAGAUAAUUUAUCCUGAACACGGUGAAAAAAGGAAGGGAGGGAGGAGAAAAAGUCCGGGUCUCACCUGGGAUUCUCUGUCUCCUGCAACAUGAAGGAUUUAGCCUGGGAGGAGGUGGUGAGAACUCUGGGAGAGAAAAAAGAAGGAAAGAAUAGUUUUACCCAUGCUGAAGUUAAUUUAAACCUUCACCUAGAGAAGCAAAAAAAAAAAACCCACACUUUCCCAUUUUGUGCCUCCCUUCCUAGAGUUUUAGCCAAAGGUUUAGCUAAGUAAUUGGUUUUACCAGCGCACUCACUCCUCCUAUCCCAAGUCUGUUUGACUCCCUCCCCAUCAUCCUCCUCACCUCUUUUCAGGCAGGGUGGGGAUAGCAGCAGGAGGAGAUUUUGGGAGCCUGGCAACUCCUGCAAGGACCGCAGGACAGCCCCUCUGUGGGGAUGCGUGGUGCCCCAUCUGCCGCCCUUCUGAAGAAUGCACUGCCUUCACUUUUUACUGUGUUAGAGUCCAUCCAGACUGUUCUAUCCAAAAAAGUUUCUUUUUCCCCCACAGGCAAUCAGGAAAUGAUUCCUUUCCCGACUGCUUCUGUCUAGUGCCUGGGAAUCUUGAGUCAAUCCCUCAGUAAGUCAGUGACUAGGGAAAUCCCUCUCUGAGCCUCCCAGUUCAUGUUGCUUAGGGAACCUGAUAUUUUCGUGAAACCUGCCUACACAUGGGCAGCCCAACAGCAGAACAAAUGGUGGUGACCAAAGUGAACAAAGAAGUAUAGUUGUGCCAGCUUCGUAGUUGCCCAUGUGGACAAGUCAGCAGGAUCAGGACACGAGGAAGAGUAAAUGUGAGACAGUCAAUGUGACUUCUGCGAUAAACAGAUUUUUAAACCCCGAAAUUUUGCAAAAUUUUGGUGAAACCUGAACUUUCUUCGUUGCAUAUACUGGCACUAUCUGUACCAUCAUACAACUGUCUCACAUUAAAGCUAUUUUUCUUGGGCACUGAUGAGUAAGGUUGGUAUAAGUUCCUCAGAUCAACAAAAACCCAUUUUCCUGUAAGUCUUACAUUUAGUAUUUAAGGAACUAAAACUUAAAUACAUUUUGUGAAAUGGUUGACACUUCACUGAUAAUGAUUUAUUGCUUGGAUUAAUAAAUUUUCCAAAAGUUGUCUUAUGUAGAAUAUGGUUUGCAACCAGCAGAACCAUUAAUCUAUACUGCAAUGAUAUGCACUAUGUAUAAUUGUUUAAAAGCCUCUACUUAAUGAUGUAAAAUGCUCUAUUUAAUUACACAUUUGGGUAAACUGUAUACUAACAUCUGAUGGCAUUUUUCCACUGUUUGUUGCUUUUUUCAAAUACUUUAUUGUACAAAGCUGUUCUUAAUAUUUUUCAAGUUUUUUUCUUUGAAUUUUGCUAAUGUUUUCCUUGAAUUAUGAGCACUGACAGAAUGUGCUUAGCACUUUUGGCUAUUCACACAGCUUUUGAGCAUGAUUUGCAUCCAAUAUUUACAUUGCUAGCAAUAAUAAGCCAUCUGUGAGUUUUGUCAAAAGUUAUUGGGGAUUUUUUAAAUUUUAGAAAUGCAAAUUAUUGUUUCUUUGAACUAACUCUUAUGCAGUUGCAAAGGCAUUUCCAGUUGUUAUAGUUUGUGUACAAUAUCAGGUGUUCCAGAUUAUGAUUCAUUAUUAAUAUCAUUGCUUCCUUGUUCCCUCUGAGGUCCAGAAGAUUCAUGUUUACAAUAUUUAGAAACAAUGUUAAAAAGGUAUCCAAAGUUUGUCACUUUAUUAUUAGUUUGUUCUUAAUAUUCUGUUUAAGUUUUUGAAUUCAUAGAUAUCAAAACGCUGCACAAUUAUGAUUUCCACAGGAAUAACAACACACUAACAAUAAGAACCAAAAACAGCAAAUAGGCUGCCUACAAGUUUUGACAAUAUUAGGAUAAUGAUAAUGACAGUUUUUCUAAAUCUCACAGUAAAGAAUGCAGCAACCCAGCAACACUGCUACCUGUGGCCUCAGGCUGCAGUGUCAGCUCUUCCCUGGGUCUCCAGCCUGCCAGUCUAACCUGAAAAUUAUGUACUUGCCAGCCCCCACAGUCACGUGAGUGAACUGGCCCAGGCUGGUCACCAGGGUCAGUUUCUCUGUGUGUCAUUAAUUCAUUCAGUCUUCAGCAGUCUCUUUGGAGCUGAGAUGUACCUACCAUCUGCCUUUUGGGUGCUUAGGGUGGAGAACCAGAAAAGUAUAACCUAGUGUGUAUCCUCAAAGAGCUAACAAUAUGGGGUGGUACCUAUAGGUCUGGAAACACUUUACUGACUCUGUGAGGCAUACCAGGAGACGUCAGAGAACAGUCCCUCCUCAAAUGCCAAAUGAGAUGCAGAAGAAAUAGUUUGCUCAAGUUCAUGGGCCAGAUAUCCCAGUGGUCAGGGAGUUUCAUGAAUGAGAUGGAACUUUGCAUGGAACCCGAGGGAUGUGUAUGAUUUGAGUAGAUGAAGAAAAUGAGACUUUCCAAGCAGCUAGAAGUUAGGGAGCAGCAAGAUGUGUGGUGGGAUUGAGCACAGUUGGUUCAGAGGAUAGACUGCAGUUUUAAUAAUUUGUAGUAAAUAUCUCCCAACUGUUUGGCACUAUUGGAGCAAGUUCUUGAAUGCCAAAUGAAGGCAUAAAUCAGUAAGAGGCAUAAUAAAAGGCUGAGCAGUGCUUGGCUUUUUACGAACUGAUCCUGAUAGGAGCAGCUGUUCAACAAAGUUGCCAGGUCACCGUUACAUAGUCCCUGCCUUCUAGGGGCUCACUGCCUACUGGGAGAGACAGUCUGAAAGUUGGUGGAGCAUGUAACUGUUGGAUGAGGAGUUUGAGCCUGUGGACUGUGGGACCCCCGAGGAGGGUGUGGCUACUCUAGGCAGAACAAUCCCACAGUUUAUUUAUAUUUAACCUUGAAAUUCAUUAGAGGAUUUUUCAGCAGAGGUUUGGUACUUGUUAAUGUUAAGGUUUGCAUUCUCUAGAACCUCAAGGAAAGCUGUACCGUGCAUAAUGUACCCUCUUAUGUUAAUGUUGUGUACUGUGAUCCUGUUUCAGGGACUUGCACUUAGGAAUCUGUUACAGUGAGCACAGAAGCAGACCUGUGGGCUCAUAGUCUUCACCCCCCACCCAUAUAUACAAGAUGAACAGAGUGGAGGUUAAACAACUUGACUAAACAACACAGUUCAUGGUAAAGCCCAAGACUGUACCUGCCCAUCCACUGCCUUUUCCAUGUAUCCUGGAACUGAGCAUAGACCUCUUCCCAGGCAGAGCUGACAGCAAGUAAAGGAGAUCAUAAUCAGGGGACCAAACAACUUUGUCUAAAGUGUGAAUGUCACCUAAGGAGAAGCUGUGAGAUCAGAAGGGUGGGGCAGAGGAGCAGACACCAUGAGGGAGAGUCCUUGGGGGUACAUCUGCCAGACUGACACUGUCUGGCCUGGGCAGUGGAGGGGCUAGCAGGAACCACAGGUACUGGUGGUGUGGCUACUACCGUUACAACUGCCUGUGCUUGGACAUGGACCCUCUGCAAUAUGCGGCAGUUUCAUUCAUUGCCCCCUACAUUCUACACCAAGUAGAAAUGGAAGGCAAUUGGAUACUUCACAGACAAGAUCUAAGUGGAGAAGGAAUGCGUCCUGUGGCUGCAGAGAUCCUUGGAGCUUGGAGGGGAGAGCUUGAGCCCCACUGAUGAUGACCUCCCACAGCUCGCCAACUCAGCCCUCCCUAAGUCCCCAUCGGGGGCCAAUUCUCACUCUGGGGUUGGGGGGACUCCACCAUAGCUCAUCCAUCAUAGGGAUGUUGGUAUCUACUGUGGGUUGGGUAGGGCCGAUGUGCUGAGGAUGGCUCCCCCACAAGCAAGAGAUGUGGAUUUGGGGAGCUUCCCAUCUUGUGUUGAAGGAACAUAACUCAGAAUAAUAAGAGCCAACUAUAACAAACCCACAGCCAACAUCAUACUGAAUGGGCAAAAGCUGCAGGCAUUCCCCUUGAAAAGUGGCACAGGAUAAGGAAGCCCUUUCUCACCACUCCUAUUCAAUAUAGUGUUGAAAGUCCUGAUCACAGCAGUCAGGCAACAGAAAUAAUAAAGGGCAUCCAAAUAGGAAGAGAGGAAGUCAAACUAUCCUUGUUUGCAGACAGUAUGAUUCUAUAUCUAGAAAACCCCAUAGCCUCAGCCCAAAAGGUCCUUCAUCUGAUAAUUUCAGCAAAGUUUCAGGAGACAAAAUCAGUGUACAAAAAUCACUAACAUUCCUAUACACAGUCGCCAAGCCAAGAGCCAAAUCAGGAGCACAAUCCCAUUCAUAAUUGCCACAAAAAAGAAUAAAAUACCCAGGAAUGCAGCUAACCAAGGAAGUAAAGGAUCUCUACAAUGAGAAUCACAAACGCUGCUCAAAGAAAUCAGAGAUGACACAAACAAAUGGAAAAACUUUCCAUGCUCAUGGCUAGGAAGAAUCAAUAUCAUUAAAGUGGCCAUACUACCCAAAGCAAUUUAUAGAUUCAAUGCUAUUCCUAUCAAACUAUCAAUUACAUUUUUCACAGAACUAGAAAAAACUUAAAAUUCAUAUGGAACCAAAAAGCCUGAGUAGUCAAGGCAAUCCUAAACAAAAAGAACAAAGGUGGAGGCAUCACAUUACCUAACUUCAAACUACAGGGCUACCAUGACCAAAACAGCAUGGUACUGGUACAAAAGCAGACACACAGACCAGUGGGACAGAAUAGAGAGCCCAAAAAUAAGGCCACAAACCUACAGCCAUCUGAUCUUCAACAAAGUUGACAAAAACAAGCAAUGGGGAAAGGUCUCCCUAUUCAAUAAAUGGUGCUGGGAUAACUGGCUGGCCAUAUGCAGAAGAUCGUAACUGGACCCCUUUUACUAUGUACAAAAAUUAAGAUGGUUUAAAGAGUUAAAACCCAAAAUUAUAAAAAUCCUGAAGAUAACUUAGGCAAUACCAUUCUGGACAUAGGAACUGGCAAAUAUUUCAUGAUGAAGACACCAAAAGCAAUUGUAACAAAAGCAAAAAUGGACAAAUUGGAUUUAAGAGCUUUUUCAUAGCAAAAUAAACAACAGGGCAGACAAUCUACCAAAUGACAGAAAAUUUUUGCAAACUAUGCAUCUGACAAGGGGCUAAUAUCUAGCAUCUAUAAGGAAUUUAAACACAGUUACAGG